AACUCCUGAGCUCAAGCUAUCCACCCGCCUCGGCCUCCCAAAGUGCUAGGAUUAGAAGCGUGAGCCACUGCCAGGCCCGAGCCACUGCCUGGCCUAGACACACUUAUUUUAAACUGUGCUCUAUUGUUUUCUGGGCUGAAUAUACCUGUUGAUGCCUGAUACCGUUAUCUGUCUUCUUGGAGUCCUGUGUUUUGAAAUCUAGGCUUGCAGGCUUCUGCAAAGGGGGUUAUGUUCUGUUUCCCUGGGUAUUCACUGUGUGUCAUGCUCUGGCAGGAGCCUCCGUCCAGCCUUUUGGGGUCAUGCUUGGGUGCUUGCCUUGCCUUGCCGUUGGGAGCUGUAGAUCCAGUCCUGGAGCCAGCAAGAGGCUAGGCCGAGGGCUGUCCUCGUCUCUAUCCCCAGAUAUCGCUGCAGAAGUGGUUCUGGCUCCCACCGGGAGUAGAAAACAGCAAGGAAACCUCACUUCGACCCCCUGUGAUUCCAUCUCCAGCCUGACCAGUCAGCGCUCCACAUGUCCCAAAGCCCCACCCUCCGAAUUAGCUUUGAAAACUCUGAUCCCAGAAUGUGCGGGGAGACUGACUGAGUGAUAGUAAAACCAGUCUCCUGCA